AUUGAACGCUGGCGGCAGGCUGAACACAUGCAAGUCGAGCGGAGUGAUGGUGCUUGCACUAUCACUUAGCGGCGGACGGGUGAGUAAUGCUUAGGAAUCUGCCUAUUAGUGGGGGACAACAUCUCGAAAGGGAUGCUAAUACCGCAUACGUCCUACGGGAGAAAGCAGGGGAUCACUUGUGACCUUGCGCUAAUAGAUGAGCCUAAGUCGGAUUAGCUAGUUGGUGGGGUAAAGGCCUACCAAGGCGACGAUCUGUAGCGGGUCUGAGGGGAUGAUCCGCCACACUGGGACUGAGACACGGCCCAGACUCCUACGGGAGGCAGCAGUGGGGAAUAUUGGACAAUGGGGGGAACCCUGAUCCAGCCAUGCCGCGUGUGUGAAGAAGGCCUUAUGGUUGUAAAGCACUUUAAGCGAGGAGGAGGCUCUUUUGGUUAAUACCCAAGAUGAGUGGACGUUACUCGCAGAAUAAGCACCGGCUAACUCUGUGCCAGCCGCCGCAGUAA
rnacentral:rRNA from 1 species